UGGGGAAUAUUCACAAUGGGCGCAAGCCUGAUGCAGCCAUGCCGCGUGUAUGAAGAAGGCCUUCGGGUUGUAAAGUACUUUCAGCGGGGAGGAAGGGAGUAAAGUUAAUACCUUUGCUCAUUGACGUUACCCGCAGAAGAAGCACCGGCUAACUCCGUGCCAGCAGCCGCGGUAAUACGGAGGGUGCAAGCGUUAAUCGGAAUUACUGGGCGUAAAGCGCACGCAGGCGGUUUGUUAAGUCAGAUGUGAAAUCCCCGGGCUCAACCUGGGAACUGCAUCUGAUACUGGCAAGCUUGAGUCUCGUAGAGGGGGGUAGAAUUCCAGGUGUAGCGGUGAAAUGCGUAGAGAUCUGGAGGAAUACCGGUGGCGAAGGCGGCCCCCUGGACGAAGACUGACGCUCAGGUGCGAAAGCGUGGGGAGCAAACAGG
rnacentral:rRNA from 1 species